rnacentral:lncRNA from 1 species
AAAUUGUUUAGAACUGUGGCACUUUAAAAGCACCUCGGCAUUGAUCUACUAACUCUAGAUCUCACCUCUCUGUGCUACUUUUAGAGUUUGUAGAUGGAUACUGUCCAGCAGAGGAGAGUCAUCUACGUUCUGAUGUCGAUUUGUUUUCAGAGAUCAGACACUUGACAUUCCUAGAGUGGACUGUCCCUUUAAAAUAUGAAACAAGUAAUGGCCUACAGAAAGAUUAUGAUAAAACUUUCCAGUUUUUUGGCUUUUCCCUUCGGCCCUGACUGGAUGUGUAGUCUACUUCCCACAAUCCUGUAUGUUACAUGGUUCCCUACCCAGACCACUCCCUUUGCCCCACCCCAAAAAUGGCUACUGGGCUUUCUCAAUCAUCUUGCAUGCCACCCCUCGCCUUCUUUUAUGUUUCAGAGUUGUGUGUGAAGAAUCACAUUAGUGAUACUGUAUGCUUUCUUUUACAAUCUAUUUACGUUUACACAUAUUUAUUUUUAUAUUUACAUAUUUCUCAUUGUUUACCAGUUGGCAAUAGUGAUAUUUUGUGAGCUGACUUUACAUUUUACUUCCGGGAUCCAUAUCAUUCAAAGCUUUAAGGUCUUAUUAAAGGCACUUGAAGGUUUUCUGGGUGUUAUUUAUGCUUAGUGUUUUUCUGUAAUGGAGUUGGUAAUGUGUCAUUGUUUCCUCUUCUAAAUUUAAGUAACUAAAUACUCUGACAGAUUCCUAGAGCUUCCUUCUACCACUAGCAGGUGAGCUCUGGUUGUGUUACAACAGGGCGCAUUAGCUCUGUUUACAUCUACUAAUUUGUUUUUAGAGUAUUGUCCUUCCCAACCACACUUUCCAGUUCACCUGCCAUCUUUCACAGGCAGCAGUGAGAGAGGUUUACCUUUUAAACUCAUAUUUUUUUAAUGUUUUCAAUCCUAGAUUUCACUUUUCCUUUAGUUUAAUCAGUCAUGGAGUCUUUUGAUUAUUAGCAUAUGCUUGACUCUGGUUUUAAUAAAAGUUAGUUUUAUUAUCAUAAAAUGUCUCCCAGUUGAUAACCUUGAAUUAUUUAGAAGUAGAAUAUCUAACCACAAAUACCUCCUAAAAUUAAUGUGUUCAUACUUCAAAUACCCAUAUUUUAUCUUGCUUCUUAUUUCAAAGGCUGACUCUUCUGCUUGUCAGUUAUUCCUCAAAAACUCCUGGAAACAUUUAGGAUAUAUCUAAAUUUCUUUAUUCUUGUUGCUCUGUUCUUCCUGUGUUUAGUUAGAAUUUUCAACUAUUCAGAAAAUUUCUACAGAUUUCUAAUUGAGUUUUUAAUUAUUUCUCUACAUUGAGAAAGAAUAUAUCCCAGGGUCUUUUUAUUAAAGGCAAAGGCUUCAUGGUCUGUGAGAACCUGAAAAGCCGGACUCCAGCUUGGGCAAACUCCUUACCAUUUCAAUGUAAUUACAUCAUGUCCCACGAAGACCCUGGAAAAGAUAAAAGCCAUGCAUUUUUAAGACUUCAUUUUGGGGUUGGGAAAAGACUCCGUUUACAGUUUCUAUUAUGAUUUUGUGUGCUUACAUUUGGCAAAUUUUACCUCUGACUCCAUACUCAGGUACUUUCAGAGACUUUAUUAAUUUCUGAGGUACAGAGAAGCAUGUCAAUAAACACUGGAUAUCAUAGAGUUUUGUGUAUAAAACUUACCCAGUGACCUCUGCACUUUUUUGAAUCUGACAUCAUCCAGUUAAGUAGAUGUCACUCUUCCCAGGAAGAAUGAGGUGAGAGUCUGACUUUUGGAUGGGAUUCAUCUUCCUCUUAGCUUUUUGAGGAGGCAAUCUUAAUGAUAAUUGAUGGUAUAUUCUCUGUUUUAUUCCUGGGUUUAGGAUACUUCUGGUGCUUUUAAUUACAGGUUGGGAUAUUUCUAAUAUUUUCUCAAGUUCCUUCUGCAGAAUCAGAGGCUCCCAAAGCAGAAAAACUAAUAAAUGUCAUCUAAACGUAGUGUUGCACAUACUUUGACUUGAAGGAGAGCCAUAUUCUCAUGGAGUCAAUGACAUAGUCUGGGGUUUGAAACAGAGUUCAUUGAUGACUUAAGAAGAAUUGAAGUCAGGGCUACUGAACAAUAUCCCCCUACUGAAUCUCUAAUUAGUACAUGCUUCCCCACAUGUUGUUGGGCGGGGGGAGGCAGUGGUUUCAAAUUCCCUUUUCUUUACAUUCAUUAGGGGCUCCUUAUUUAUGCUGUACAUAUAUGUGUUUCAGGAACUAAUUUCCUAUUGAAUAAACAAAGCACAUUGUACUCCCAUGUUUUGUGACUAUACCAAGCAUAGUCAUAUUUAACAAUCCU